UACGGCCACAUCACGUUGAAACACCGGUUCACCAAAGUUAAGCAACAUCGAGACUUUUCAGUACUUAGAUGGGUGUCCGCUUGGGAAUAUUAGGUGCUGUAGG